UACAGAGGUGCCAAGCGUUAGGCGGAAUCACUGGGCUUAAAGCGCGUGUAGGUGGACGGGUAAGUAUCUUGUGAAAUCCCAUGGCUCAACCGUGGAACUGCUGGAUAUACUGCUUGUCUUGAGGCACUUAGGGGCAGCUGGAACAAAUGGUGGAGCGGUGAAAUGCGUAGAUAUCAUUUGGAACGCCACAGGCGAAAGCAGGCUGCUGGGAGUGAUCUGACACUGAGACGCGAAAGCCAGGGGAGCAAACGGG
rnacentral:rRNA from 1 species